UGAUUCCUACGGGAGGCAGCAGUAGGGAAUCUUCCACAAUGGGCGAAAGCCUGAUGGAGCAACGCCGCGUGGGUGAAGAAGGUCUUCGGAUCGUAAAACCCUGUUGUUAGAGAAGAAAGUGCGUGAGAGUAACUGUUCGCGUUUCGACGGUAUCUAACCAGAAAGCCACGGCUAACUACGUGCCAGCAGCCGCGGUAAUACGUAGGUGGCAAGCGUUAUCCGGCUUUAUUGGGCGUAAAGGGAACGCAGGCGGUCUUUUAAGUCUGAUGUAAAAG
rnacentral:rRNA from 1 species